rnacentral:miRNA from 1 species
GGUGAGGCUUCGGAAAGACGGG